UAGGGAAUAUUGCUCAAUGGGGGAAACCCUGAAGCAGCAACGCCGCGUGGAGGAUGAAGGUUUUAGGAUUGUAAACUCCUUUUGUGAGAGAAGAUUAUGACGGUAUCUCACGAAUAAGCACCGGCUAACUCCGUGCCAGCAGCCGCGGUAAUACGGAGGGUGCAAGCGUUACUCGGAAUCACUGGGCGUAAAGAGUGCGCAGGCGGGGUGGUAAGUCAGAUGUGAAAUCCUGUAGCUUAACUACAGAACUGCAUUUGAAACUAUCACUCUAGAGUAUGGGAGAGGUAGGUGGAAUUCUUGGUG
rnacentral:rRNA from 1 species